AACAUAAUAUAGCUUCCCCAUUGUGAGUAAUGAUGAUGGGAACUCGUUCAUUCAUUUUCAUUAUCUCUUCCACCAUUUCAUUACAAUCUGUCUCCUCAUAACUUAAUUGCCCUAAUAAUCAAAUCAAACCCUCUUUCCUACACAAUUUCAUCACCUAAAUAAAACCAUCCUUCGGUGGAGCUAAACCACCUACUUCCAGGGCUUCCAAUAAACCACCUACUUCCAGGGCUUCCAAUGCUUCCACUUCAAACGGACAAAAAAUCCUUAUUUUUCUGAUGCGGACAAAGAAAAACACGCCAUAUUCUUCUAUUCUCAUGAUGCUGUUUAGGAAUAGUAUAAAGUUAAAGCAUGAAGGAAGGACACUCGAGUAUUUGACUUUUCCGGUCGGAUGUCGGUUCUUUACCCUUCCUUCCCUUGUCUCCCAUCGUAGCCUUUUUUUUUUUUUUUUUUUUCAAUCUUCUAAUUGGGCCUAAAAGAAAAGGCCCAAAUUUGAGCUCAAUGGGCCUGAGCUUUAACUCCGUCUAAACCAGUGAACCACUCAUGUACUCCCUUGCUCCCCAAAGCCUGUGCCGUUUGUUGUGCAGACAUCGUCGGCGUUGUGGUCUCUCGCGAGUCGCUACCUGUUGGCUGCCAAAACCAUCUCACAUCGCCAUAUUCUGCUUCACUCCACCAGCCAGAUGUUCGGAUAAUUGGAAAUAUGGCGACCCGUUUCGCAGCCCAAAUUAGGGGUUGGGAUUGUUGCUUUGCUAGGGUUCGGGGGAAGGUGAGGGACUAUGGAGGUGUGGUGCAGAUCAGGGUGUCAGAUGUUGUGGUUGAGGACGACCCAAAUGCUGAAAUUCUGCAUUGGUUGGAUUGCAUGAGGUUGGCUCAAAAGUGUUAUGACCUCUUCCCUACACCCUCAUAGCUGUAGAUUCCAAUGCUUUUAAAAUGUCCUCUCUACUGCUUUUUUUCUGAAUGUAGAAAAGAUUCCGCUUUUUUUAGCCUUACUGUACAAAAUUUUGCAUAGCAGAUUGGUCUUUGUAAUGAUUAUAUAAUAAUAGGGAAGCUAAGUGGUCUUUGUAAUGAUUAUAUAAUAAUAGGGAAGCUAAGUUGGUACUGCCUCUGUUUUGUUUGAUGGAAAUGGAUAAAAUUGAACAGAAAUCAAUGACAAAUAGUUAAUUAACAAAGCUCUUUAGCAUUGGAUCACGCAUGUUUGCAAAUGAAGAUGUGGGAUUACUGGAUUUGUAGUUCCAAGAGGAUGCGCGGAGGAUGAACAGUGAAAAAGUCAGAAACAUACAAGUCAAUGGUGGUUGGAAACUGGAAAGAAUGGCUUAUGAACACAGAUGAAAGGUAAAUUCAAACUGCAAAUUUGAAACCUCUCCGCUUUUGACCUCUGUCGUCAAUGCAAAAUUCCAUGUCAUUUACUGCUCUCUGUUGUAACCUAGGAACAUGGUUGCCUCCUAUUGUUUCUCUUUUAUUUCUAAGCUAUUCAUUCAUCUGGUUCCCUGAAUAAAGAGAAUUUUUUCUGAUU